rnacentral:tRNA from 1 species
UUUAGCUCAGUUGGUUAGAGCAGACGGCUCAUAACCGUCCGGUCGUAGGUUCGAGUCCUACAAGGUCCA